UACAGAGGUGGCAAGCGUUGUUCGAAAUUACUGGGCGUAAAGGGCGAGUAGGUGGCCAUCUAAGUCAGACGUGAAAUCCCCCGGCUUAACCUGGGAACUGCGUCUGAUACUGGACGGCUUGAGUAUGGGAGAGGAAUGUAGAAUUCCAGGUGUAGCGGUGAAAUGCGUAGAUAUCUGGAGGAAUACCGGUGGCGAAGGCGGCAUUCUGGACCAUUACUGACACUGAAUCGCGAAAGCUAGGGGAGCAAACGGG
rnacentral:rRNA from 1 species